CGUAGGGUCCGAGCGUUGUCCGGAAUUAUUGGGCGUAAAGAGCUCGUAGGCGGUUUGUCGCGUCUGCUGUGAAAUCCCGAGGCUCAACCUCGGGUCUGCAGUGGGUACGGGCAGACUGGAGUGCGGUAGGGGAGAAUGGAAUUCCUGGUGUAGCGGUGGAAUGCGCAGAUAUCAGGAGGAACACCGAUGGCGAAGGCAGUUCUCUGGGCCGUAACUGACGCUGAGGAGCGAAAGCGUGGGAGCGAACAGGAUU
rnacentral:rRNA from 1 species